AAUGCUGACAUGAGUAACGAUAAGGGGAGUGAAAAACUUCCCCGCCGAAAGACCAAGGGUUCCUAUCCCAUGCUAAUCAGGGUAGGGUGAGUCGACCCCUAAGGCGAGGCUGAAAGGCGUAGUCGAUGGGAAACAGGUUAAUAUUCCUGUACCGACCAAUACUGCGAUGGGGGGACGGAGAAAGCUAGGCAAGCGCGGCGUUGGUAGUCCGCGUGAAAGUACGUAGGCAGAGAGAUUAGGUAAAUCCGGUUUCUUAUAUGCUGAGAUACGAGACGAGUCACUACGGUGACGAAGUUGCUAACGCUAUGCUUCCAGGAAAAGCCUCUAAGCUU
rnacentral:rRNA from 1 species